AUUGAACGCUGGCGGAAUGCUUUACACAUGCAAGUCGAACGGCAGCACGGACUUCGGUCUGGUGGUGAGUGGCGAACGGGUGAGUAAUACAUCGGAACGUGCCCAGUCGUGGGGGAUAACGUAGCGAAAGCUACGCUAAUACCGCAUACGAUCUAAGGAUGAAAGCGGGGGAUCGCAAGACCUCGCGCGAUUGGAGCGGCCGAUGGCAGAUUAGGUAGUUGGUAGGGUAAAGGCCUACCAAGCCGACGAUCUGUAGCUGGUCUGAGAGGAUGAUCAGCCACACUGGGACGGAGACACGGCCCAGACUCCUACGGGAGGCAGCAGUGGGGAAUUUUGGGCAAUGGGCGCAAGCCUGAUCCAGCCAUUCCGCGUGCAGGAUGAAGGCCUUCGGGUUGUAAACUGCUUUUGUACAGAACGAAAAGGCUCUGGUUAAUACCCGGGGCUCAUGACGGUACUGUAAGAAUAAGCACCGGCUAACUACUUGCCAGCCGCCGCCGUAA
rnacentral:rRNA from 1 species